rnacentral:pre_miRNA from 1 species
UCUUACAGAUGAGCAAAGAAAGUGGUUUCUUGAGAUGGAACCUACUCCUGGUGAAGAAGCUAUGAA